rnacentral:rRNA from 1 species
ACAUGCAAGUCGAACGAGACUUUUCGUUGUAGCAAUACGAUGGAAAGUUUAGUGCGAACGGGUGCUUAACACGUGGGCAACCUGCCAUGAAGUGGGGGAUAGCUCGCCGAAAGGCGAAUUAAUACCGCAUGUGAUUAGAAAGGACAUCCUUUCGAAAUUAAAGUCGGGGCAACCUGACGCUUCUUGUGGGGCCCGCGGCCUAUCAGCUAGUUGGUGAGGUAACGGCUCACCAAGGCUUCGACGGGUAGCUGGUCUGAGAGGACGACCAGCCACACUGGGACUGAGACACGGCCCAGACACCUACGGGUGGCUGCAGUCGAGAAUUUUUGACAAUGGGGGAAACCCUGAUCGAGCGACGCCGCGUGGAGGAUGAAGGUCCUCGGAUUGUAAACUCCUGUCAUUGGGGAACAAGGUGCAUACGUUAACUGCGUGUGCAUUGAUAGUACCCGAAGAGGAAGAGACGGCUAACUCUGUGCCAGCGGCCGCGGUAAUACAGAGGUCUCAAGCGUUGUUCGGAUUCAUUGGGCGUAAAGGGUGCGUAGGCGGCGCGGUAAGUCGGGUGUGAAAUCUCGGACUUAACUCCGAAACUGCAUUCGAUACUGCCGUGCUUGA